AUUGGGUGUAAAGCGCGCGUAGGCGGAUUGGAAAGUUGGGGGGUGAAAUCCCGGGGGCUCAACCCCUGGAACUGCCUUCAAAACUCCCCAAUCUGGAGUUCGAGAGAGGUGAGUGGAAUUCCCGAGUGUAGAGGUGAAAUUCGUAGAUAUUCGGAGGAACACCAGUGGCGAAGGCGGCUCACUGGCUCGAUACUGACGCUGAGGUGCGAAAGUGUGGGGAGCAAACAGGAUUAGAUACCCUAGUA
rnacentral:rRNA from 1 species